AGAUGGAUUGGUGCCUUCGGGAACUCUGACACAGGUGCUGCAUGGCUGUCGUCAGCUCGUGGUCGUGAGAUGUUGGGUUAAGUCCCGUAACGAGCGCAACCCUUGUCCUUAGUUACCAGCACGUUAUGGUGGGCACUCUAAGGAGACUGCCGGUGACAAGCCGGAGGAAGGUGGGGAUGACGUCAAGUCAUCAUGGCCCUUACGGCCUGGGCUACACACGUGCUACAAUGGUCGGUACAAAGGGUUGCCAAGCCGCGAGGUGGAGCUAAUCCCAUAAAACCGAUCGUAGUCCGGAUCGCAGUCUGCAACUCGACUGCGUGAAGUCGGAAUCGCUAGUAAUCGUGAAUCAGAAUGUCACGGUGAAUACGUUCCCGGGCCUU
rnacentral:rRNA from 1 species